GAAAGAAAGAAAGAAAGAAAGAAAGAAAGAAAGAGAAAGAAAGAAAGAAAGAAAGAAAGAAAGAAAGAAAGAAAGAAAGAAAGAAAGAAAGAAAGAAAGAAAGAAAGAAAGAAAGAAAGAAAGAAAGAAAGAAAGAAAGAAAGAAAGGAGUCUUGUUUGUGCUUGGUUGCAGCCUUGUGAUCACAGAAAGGGGAUUAAAGCCACGCUGAAGUCUGCUGGUGUUGCAAGAGGGAUCUGGGUGGGCUUCAUCCCUGUGCUGUGCUGGAGCCCUGAGCACCCCAGAAAUGGCAGCAGAGGCUGGGGCUUGCUGCUCCCAGCCUGAGUCACCAGCUCAAACCUUUUGUCAGCAGAGUUUCUGAUAAAACAAGGAUUUAAAAUUAUAGGUGAUUUUUCCCAUUAGAAAUUAAAAAAAAAAAAAAAAAAAAAGCUUUUCUAACUCAGUCUUAGGAAGAGCUGCAUUUAUGCCCUUGGCUGUGCACAUGCGAACACAGCUCUCUCUUUGCAUGUUUCACAUUACACGAGUACUCUUUCCAUGGGAUGCAAGCUUCAUUUGUUGCAUAAGAUAGAAAGAGUGGAUUAAAGGUGUUAAAACAGGCUUUGACUUACACAGUUAAGGAGCACUGACUCUGAUCUGUUUGACACAUUUUCAGUAACAGCGAUAAGUCAGCCACAUCUGGUGCGGGGCUUGAUUGCAUGAGGUCUUGUAAAAGCGUGCGGGGGGGGGGCAAAGAGCUUGUAAGCAGGGAAGCAGACCAGGAAUUGCUCUCCCCACCUUACAUGGCAGAAAUCCCACACCCCAUGUUUUCUCCAUCAGUUUGGACUCACGAGGUGUGUCACCUUCUGUGUUGGAUGGGAGCGACGGAGGGAACCGCUGCUUAAUGGGAUCGUUGAAGGAGCACAGUGGGGACACGUUUUUUGUAGAUGCCCCUAAACACCUGGGAUUCACCUCCGUGAUCACAGCUGCGAUUUCAGAUUCCAGAGCAUAUCAUGAAUUCCAUGCAAGGAGCUGGCAGACACCAGUCCUUGUGAAACCUGCACCAAGGUGGAUGGGAGAAAAGCACCACAGAGCAUUUCCAAUGAUAUCAGCACCGUAUCUGUCCAUAACUAACUUGGUCAUAUACAGAUUGGGUGCCAUGGUUCCCACUACCUGUACUGGUUGGGCUGCCACUGACUAUAACGGAAGCCUCAGUCCCCACCUCCCAUUUGGUCUCUGACAUGGCAGACACCUAAAAUUGGAUGAUCUGAACCCACAGUGUGUGAAGCUUGUGACCUUCUCCUCAUGCCUGUAUUCUCCAUGCGGUACGUGGUAUUUUCUCUUGCUGCUGUAAGCUGUUGGGGGAGCAGUUCUGUACUCUAAGAACACAAGCACAGGGCCCAAGGCUCUCCACCAUGGCUGGACUGGUAAAUUCCUGCACAAGACUGAGCAACCCUACAGUAACCCAGAGCUGCAUGGAGAGAAGGGAGGAUUCUCCUUCUUCUGGGCCCAAGCGGGAAUGUCCAAAGGUGGCAAUCGCAAGGACUUGGAGAGCCCUGAAGAGCUUUACGCUGAGACAUCUUCUUGCCCCUACAAAUGAAAAAUGAGUCUGGCCAUCUUGCAAGAACAGGUUUCCUUGCUUUAUUUCACCUUCCCACGUUGACCAGAGCCAAGGAAGUCUGAAAAUCAAAGAGCUGUGGGAGGAGCUGAACCAAACCACCUCACUCUGGAGGAAGCACUGGGUCGGGGAUUUGUUUCUGUUCUCCCUUCAGCAAGAACAAAGACUUGAGACCGAGCAUCCCAUCCUCUCCCAUAUCAUGGAGGAGAAAUCUCUUCUUACCAAUUAGCACCUUCUUCUAGAGUGUGUCUUCUCCACUGGUGGGCAACUGGGAGGUGGGCACACCUGAAUCAGGGGUGUUCUAAGGCAGGGGAUUGUCUGCGACGAGGUGGUGGCAUCUCAGGUUGGGCAUUGCAGGGACACUUCUGGCACUUGCAUUUCGGACAAUGUGUGAGCUCCCCAAACCCUUGCAGUCAGGUGGGAUUUGGGGAAAUGCUCAUUGAGCUCUUGGAUCCUCAGGUCUGCCUAAGCUCUAGUGUGAAUGUAUGUGCGCUUGGAUUUGGUCCUAAAUGUCAAGAAGAAAUACAUACACCUAGGUGUGUCAUGGGCGCUUGAAAUCGUGGGAGGGUCAGGAAUGGACCCUAGAGUUGUAUGGCUUGUAGUUCUGCAUGUGAAUUUUAAACCUAUUGUCCAGUUUGUGUUUAAAGGAUGAUAUUGCCUUUUUUUAACAUGAAAAUCUUCUGUCCUGUGUUCCUGACUAUCUGGUUCUGAGUUCCCAUACAUCAGCCCCUUAUCUGCUAUUUAAUAUCUCAAUAAAAAAAUGCUUCUCCCUCUUGUUUAACCUCCU
ensembl:lncRNA